GAGAAAUCACUAAUGCUUUUUAGACUUAACAUUUUCUUUUUUUGUAGGUUUCAGGCACAGAACUGUAUAUCCAAUAAUAGUGAAAUGGAUCCCACUAAUUAUGACAGAAAUGAUGAUACAUUUAAAUGACUUGGAUGUUUUAUAGGUUGGCACUCAUCAUGAGCCCCUGUUCUCAUUCUGCAAAUGGUGAAGCUCUCUAUUGUCCUGACCCCACAGUUCCUGUCCCAUGACCAGGGCCAGCUCACCAAGGAGCUGCAGCAGCACGUAAAGUCAGUGACAUGCCCAUGCGAGUACCUGAGGAAGAUGAUCCUACACCUGCCACCUCCGAUGGAUCCACUGCCUCUGUGCCUGCCUGUACUGCUGAUGCUCCAGUGGAUAACUCAGCAUCCCAGCCUAGGCCCAAUGCCACUGAAGAUGGACCUGCCCCCUGGGGACCCAGGAGUCCUACCACUCAGCUGUCCCCAGGAGUGCCCAGACCCUCAUUCUUAUCCAGGACCUAGGAGUCCUACCCCUGGCCUUCCCUCAUCAGCCGUAAAUGAUGAUUUACUGCUGUUACCAUCAUCACUGCCUUCAGUGACCAAGGGCCUUCCAAGGUGCCAACUCUGGAACGAAGGAUGCCCUUGGGAGGUGAUGACACUCAGGUACACGGGUGCUCAACAGAUUGCUUCCUCCUA